GGCCCAAAUUUGAAGUAUGGUGGAUUAGAAGGAUCAUCUGACCCUACUAAACUACUCUACUUGGAGUUUGUGCCC
rfam:Haemonchus placei strain MHpl1 genome assembly, scaffold: HPLM_contig0001375